GGCUGGUCCCAGUGCAGUGGUAUUUACAACUGACUGAUCCCAACCAGUUACAGAUUCCCUUUGUUCCUUCUCACUCCCACUGCUUCACUUGACUGGCCUUUA
ensembl:misc_RNA Y_RNA Y RNA